rnacentral:lncRNA from 1 species
GGAACUGAACACAGAAGCAGUUGCAGGAAGCAGUUGGUGAACUCUGGAAGAGUGAAGCUGCUUUUCUCUGGCAGUCAAGAGAGACCAGGGUUGAUAUCUGUUAUUUCUGGGGAGGACCCAGAGAGCCAAUGGUCCCUUUUACUUUGGGCUUCUUUGUUUCCUGCCUGUCCUUGAAACUGGAGCUGCUGCUACUGCUGUGGAGAAGAUUUCAUCUUAGCUGUUACUGGGAUUGCUGCUUGACACAAAGGAGGAUUCUGAUUACUCUCCUCCAUGAACACUGGAUACAAUUAAAAAGGUGGCACAGUGAAUAUACAUCUGGAUAUAAGAAUCAGCAAAAUUUGGAUUCAAAAUUAGCCUUCAGUAUCAACUAGCUGAGUGACCAGGAGGCAAAUGACCUGGAUAGACCUUGCUUAAGAAUUUCCCUUGGAAGCUGUGCAGAAAAAAAUAUAUUGGAGAGAGUAGAGACUAGAUACAGAGAGACCAACUCGGAAUCUAUUACAACAGUCCAGAACUGAGGUGAUGAAG